UACAGAGGGGGCAAGCGUUGUUCGGAAUUACUGGGCGUAAAGCGCGCGUAGACGGUUUUGUAAGUCAGAUGUGAAAUCCCUGGGCUCAACCUGGGAACUGCAUUUGAGACUGCAUGGCUAGAGUAUCGAAGAGGGAAGUGGAAUUUCCGGUGUAGCGGUGAAAUGCGUAGAUAUCGGAAGGAACACCAGUGGCGAAAGCGACUUCCUGGUCGAAUACUGACGUUCAUGUGCGAAAGCGUGGGGAGCAAACAGG
rnacentral:rRNA from 1 species